UGGCGUGUUGGGCAAAAGUCGAUGGUGGAUGAGAGUUGCUGGUUGGAAAAGAGAGGAGGUAAAGUAGAAGAAGUUGAGGUUGGGGAUGAGAGGAAAAGAUAGGGACAGCAGGUGGGAGUUGAUGGUUUGAGAAGAGCUCGCGAUGGGUGGGCAUUUAGUAGAGAGAGAGAUGCAUUUUGAAAUAGAGAAAGACGGAGAGAGUGGAGAAGAAGGUGAGAGUUGGG
rnacentral:lncRNA from 1 species